GAUGAACGCUGGCGGCGUGCUUAACACAUGCAAGUCGAACGGUGAAGGCGGAGCUUGCUCUGCUGGAUCAGUGGCGAACGGGUGAGUAACACGUGAGCAAUCUGCCCCUGACUCUGGGAUAAGCGCUGGAAACGGCGUCUAAUACUGGAUACGAUCUGCGAAGGCAUCUUCAGCAGCUGGAAAGAACUUCGGUCAGGGAUGAGCUCGCGGCCUAUCAGCUUGUUGGUGAGGUAACGGCUCACCAAGGCGUCGACGGGUAGCCGGCCUGAGAGGGUGACCGGCCACACUGGGACUGAGACACGGCCCAGACUCCUACGGGAGGCAGCAGUGGGGAAUAUUGCACAAUGGGCGAAAGCCUGAUGCAGCAACGCCGCGUGAGGGACGACGGCCUUCGGGUUGUAAACCUCUUUUAGCAGGGAAGAAGCGAAAGUGACGGUACCUGCAGAAAAAGCGCCGGCUAACUACGUG
rnacentral:rRNA from 1 species